UGGGGAAUAUUGCACAAUGGGCGAAAGCCUGAUGCAGCAACGCCGCGUGAGUGAUGAAGGUCUUCGGAUCGUAAAGCUCUGUCUUUUGGGACGAUAAUGACGGUACCAAAGGAGGAAGCCACGGCUAACUACGUGCCAGCAGCCGCGGUAAUACGUAGGUGGCGAGCGUUGUCCGGAUUUACUGGGCGUAAAGGGUGCGUAGGCGGAUGUUUAAGUGAGAUGUGAAAUACCCGGGCUUAACUUGGGUGCUGCAUUUCAAACUGGAUAUCUAGAGUGCAGGAGAGGAGAAUGGAAUUCCUAGUGUAGCGGUGAAAUGCGUAGAGAUUAGGAAGAACACCAGUGGCGAAGGCGAUUCUCUGGACUGUAACUGACGCUGAGGCACGAAAGCGUGGGUAGCAAACAGGAUUAGAUACCCUGGUAGUCCACGCCGUAAACGAUGAGUACUAGGUGUAGGAGGUAUCGACCCCUUCUGUGCCGCAGUAAACACAUUAAGUACUCCGCCUGGGAAGUACGAUCGCAAGAUU
rnacentral:rRNA from 1 species